UGAAGUGAUUGUAGGGCACAAUCACGUUAAUCUAAAGAAAGCCCAAUUUAUU
rnacentral:sRNA from 12 species